GCAUAUCAAUAAGCGGAGGAAAAGAAACCAACAGGGAUUGCCCUAGUAACGGCGAGUGAAGCGGCAACAGCUCAAAUUUGAAAUCUGGCGCAAGCCCGAGUUGUAAUUUGUAGAGGAUGUUUCUGGCGACGCGCCUUCCGAGUUCCCUGGAACGGGACGCCAUAGAGGGUGAGAGCCCCGUACGGUUGGAUGCCUAGCCUCUGUGAAACUCCUUCGACGAGUCGAGUAGUUUGGGAAUGCUGCUCUAAAUGGGAGGUAUACGUCUUCUAAAGCUAAAUACCGGCCAGAGACCGAUAGCGCACAAGUAGAGUGAUCGAAAGAUGAAAAGCACUUUGAAAAGAGGGUUAAAAAGUACGUGAAAUUGUUGAAAGGGAAGCGUUCAUGACCAGACUUGGGCAGGUUGAUCAUCCGUGGUUCUCCGCGGUGCACUCUGCCUGCCCAGGCCAGCAUCAGUUCGCUCCGGGGGAUAAAGGCUCUGGGAAUGUGGCUCCUUCGGGAGUGUUAUAGCCCACUGCGUAAUACCCUGGGGUGGACUGAGGUUCGCGCUCUGCAAGGAUGCUGGCGUAAUGGUCAUCAACGACCCGUCUUGAAACACGGACCAAGGAGUCGUCUUCGUAUGCGAGUGUUCGGGUGUCAAACCCCUACGCGUAAUGAAAGUGAACGUAGGAGAGAGCUUCGGCGCAUCUCCGACCGAUCCUGAUGUUCUCGGAUGGAUUUGAGUAAGAGCAUACGGGGCCGGACCCGAAAGAAGGUGAACUAUGCCUGUAUAGGGUGAAGCCAGAGGAAACUCUGGUGGAGGCUCGCAGCGGUUCUGACGUGCAAAUCGAUCGUCAAAUAUGGGGAUGGGGGCGAAAGACUAAUCGAACCUUCUAGUAGCUGGUUUCCGCCGAAGUU
rnacentral:rRNA from 1 species